CUGCCAUUGGCAUCUGUUUCAUGGUGUUGUGGUUCAAAUUUUAUGUGUUUGCUCAAGAGGAUAGAGGCGCCUCUAGAUUUAGUAGGUGACGUGGCAUGGUAUUGGUGCGGGAAUUGUAUCGAUUGGAUAUUGGGGUGAUCCAUAUGUCUAAAAUGAGUCUCCUGGAGACAUACGAUAUCCGCGCUUAGGGACUUGAGCUCUCUGUUUAACAUAUGUCUUUUAGCGGGGGUAUUCAAUCCCCGUUUGUUAUAGGUACAGAUCCUCACGGUGGUUUCUCAUGGUGUGGUGGGCUAUAGUGUGUUGUGAUGUGUGUUUCGUCAAGGGUCAGCACUCCUCCCAGCUCCUGCAAGCCGAGUGCUGAUGUCCCAUAUUUGGUCUGGGUGUGGGUGGCCCGUAGAGCUUGUGGGGUAGA